rnacentral:lncRNA from 10 species
ACUCUACAGUAGCCGCGCGGCCAGGGUAACCGCGGGCUCGCGUGGGUGCUGCUGGCUACCUGUACAACUUCGUGCUCCGGCGUCACCAGCUAGCUAAAUCCUCGCAACGGUUCUGGGCGAUAGGGGCCGUUUUUGUCCCCCUUCUUCAGCAGAUGAGGGAAUUUGUUUCAAAAAGUUGUUACCUGCUCACGGAAACAGACGUCCUAAGCUAUUAACACAAUCUCCAGCUGUGUUCUAACCAAGACAGGAACCGAAGGGAACAGUAAAAAAUCAUUUUCCGAUUCAUGGAAAAAACUCUGACAAGCACAGAUUUCUGAAAACUUUAAGGUCAUACCACUGGACUCGGUAAAGAAGAUAAAAUUUGGGAACUUAAAACUUGGCAAAGAAGGAAAUCCUUUUGG